rnacentral:rRNA from 2 species
GUGCGAGACCGAUAGCGAACAAGUACCGUGAGGGAAAGAUGAAAAGAACUUUGAAAAGAGAGUUAAAGAGUACCUGAAACUGCUGAAAGGGAAGCGAAUCGUAUCCAGUGUCUAUAAUCUGCGGCAUAUUUCAUUGGCGGCAGUGUGCGUGCUUUUGCGUCGGAAGCGGCUUUUGUUGCUCUGUGCUUUUGCUGUGCGUGCUGUUGCUGGUGCCCUGUGUUGCGGUGGGACGUCAGAGUCAGUUCGUAUGCUGCGGGAAAUGGCCGCCGAGGAGGUAGGUCAGGACUUCGGUCUUGGCUGUUAUAUCUUGGUGGUUUGUUGUCGUGGUUGGGACUGAGGUGCCUAC